rnacentral:rRNA from 1 species
GACGAACGCUGGCGGCGUGCCUAAUACAUGCAAGUCGAGCGAAGUUUUUCUGGUGCUUGCACUAGAAAAACUUAGCGGCGAACGGGUGAGUAACACGUAAAGAACCUGCCUCAUAGACUGGGACAACUAUUGGAAACGAUAGCUAAUACCGGAUAACAGUAUUUCUCGCAUGAGAGAUAUUUAAAAGUUGGUUAUGCUAACACUAUGAGAUGGCUUUGCGGUGCAUUAGCUAGUUGGUGGGGUAAAGGCCCACCAAGGCGACGAUGCAUAGCCGACCUGAGAGGGUGAUCGGCCACACGGGGACUGAGACACGGCCCAGACUCCUACGGGAGGCAGCAGUAGGGAAUCUUACGCAAUGGGCGAAAGCCUGACGGAGCAACGCCGCGUGAGUGAAGAAGGAUUUCGGUUCGUAAAGCUCUGUUGUUAGGGAAGAAUGGAUAUGUAGUAACUAUACAUGUAAGAGACGGUACCUAACCAGAAAGCCACGGCUAACUACGUG